AUAAAUAAGUAAAUAAUAUAGUUGUUGAAUAAAUAGCAUACUUUGGUGAAUAAGUGUGUUAAUCCAUAAGGUGUGAUGGUCAUGUUAAUGGUUGACUAAUCUAAUCAUCUUGUGGAUAUGAUAUGGUAGUUUGACUCUGACAAGCUAGGUAGGAGCUUGGAAAUGAACGGGUCAAAUGGAUACAAGUUCAAGUAUGAAGCUCGCAAGGAUGCAAGAUAUCCAAUGGAUACUCGCAUCGCUCUUAAUUAGCAAUUAUAAAGCA
rnacentral:lncRNA from 1 species